CGGACGGGUGAGUAAUGCUUGGGAAUCUGGCUCAUGGAGGGGGAUAACUACGGGAAACUGUAGCUAAUACCGCGUAGUAUCGGAAGAUGAAAGUGUGGGACCGCAAGGCCACAUGCCAUGAGAUGAGCCCAAGUGGGAUUAGGUAGUUGGUUAGGUAAAGGCUGACCAAGCCGACGAUCUCUAGCUGGUCUGAGAGGAUGACCAGCCACACUGGAACUGAGACACGGUCCAGACUCCUACGGGAGGCAGCAGUGGGGAAUAUUGCACAAUGGGGGAAACCCUGAUGCAGCCAUGCCGCGUGAAUGAAGAAGGCCUUCGGGUUGUAAAGUUCUUUCGGUGAUGAGGAAGGUGUUUGUUUUAAUAGGACAAGCAAUUGACGUUAGUCACAGAAGAAGCACCGGCUAACUCCGUGCCAGCAGCCGCGGUAAUACGGAGGGUGCGAGCGUUAAUCGGAAUAACUGGGCGUAAAGGGCACGCAGGCGGUGACUUAAGUGAGAUGUGAAAGCCCCGAGCUUAACUUGGGAAUUGCAUUUCAUACUGGGUCGCUAGAGUACUUUAGGGAGGGGUAGAAUUCCACGUGUAGCGGUGAAAUGCGUAGAGAUGUGGAGGAAUACCGAAGGCGAAGGCAGCCCCUUGGGAAUGUACUGACGCUCAUGUGCGAAAGCGUGGGGGAGCAACAGGAUUAGAUACCCUGGUAGUCCACGCUGUAAACGCUGUCGAUUUGGGGAUUGGGCUUAGAGCUUGGUGCCCGUAGCUAACGUGAUAAAUCGACCGCCUGGGGAGUACGGC
rnacentral:rRNA from 1 species